rnacentral:rRNA from 1 species
CAAUAGCGUAUAUUUAAGUUGUUGCAGUUAAAAAGCUCGUAGUUGGAUUUCGGUUAAGAGCGACCGGUCCGCCGUUUGGUGUGCACUGGUUGGUUUUAACUUCCUGUAGAGGACGUGCUCUGGGUUUAACGACCUGGACUCGGAGUCUACGUGGUUACUUUGAAAAAAUUAGAGUGUUCAAAGCGGGCUUACGCUUGAAUAUUUCAGCAUGGAAUAACACUAUAGGACUCCUGUCCUAUUUCGUUGGUCUCGGGACGGGAGUAAUGAUUAAGAGGAACAGUUGGGGGCGUUCGUAUUUCAUUGUCAGAGGUGAAAUUCUUGGAUUUAUGAAAGACGAACUUCUGCGAAAGCAUUUGCCAAGGAUGUUUUCAUUAA